rnacentral:rRNA from 1 species
CGCAGCCGCGGUAAUUCCAGCUCCAAUAGCGUAUAUUAAAGUUGUUGCAGUUAAAAAGCUCGUAGUUGAAUUUCGAGACCGGUUUAUUGGUCGUGCUUUUGUACGUACUGGUAUUAUUGGUUUCUCCUUUCUGACGAAUCUUAAUGCCAUUAAUUUGGUGUUUUGGGGAAUCAGGACUGUUACUUUGAAAAAAUUAGAGUGUUUAAAGCAGGCUCACGCUUGAAUACAUUAGCAUGGAAUAACGGAAUAGGACGUUUGAUUCUAUUUUGUUGGUUUCUAGGAUCGACGUAAUGAUUAAUAGGGAUAGUUGGGGGCAUUAGUAUUCAAUUGUCAGAGGUGAAAUUCUUGGAUUUAUUGAAGACUAACUACUGCGAAAGCAUUUGCCAAGGAUGUUUUCAUUAAUCAAGAACGAAAGUUAGGGGAUCGAAGGCGAUCAGAUACCGUCGUAGUCUUAACCAUAAACUAUGCCGACUAGGGAUC